UACGUAGGGAGCAAGCGUUGUCCGGAAUCAUUGGGCGUAAAGAGCGCGUAGGCGGUCCGGUAAGUCGGUUGUGAAAACUGGGGGCUCAACCCUCAGAGGCCGACCGAUACUGCCGGGCUAGAGUCCGGAAGAGGCGAGUGGAAUUCCUGGUGUAGCGGUGAAAUGCGCAGAUAUCAGGAGGAACACCAAUUGCGAAGGCAGCUCGCUGGGACGUAACUGACGCUGAGACGCGAAAGCGUGGGGAGCAAACAGG
rnacentral:rRNA from 1 species